GAAGCGAUUUUUGAAGCCAUUUGCAAUUUUUCAGAUUCCAUUAAAAAGCAGUGCCCAGGGAAGCCCUAAUCAAAAAGAUCAUAAGGGCUACAACAUGAAUGUGAACAGCACUCCUGCCACUAGCUCAAAGAACCAGGUGUCUGCUUUUAUCUGAAGCACAUCAGAACCUCUGACCCCUCUCAGCCCGUUCUUAAACAGCAUCCUGGUUUUGAAGACCAAAACACUUUGGAGAGUUUCUGUUGUUCAUUACUCAGUCUUCCCCCACCUAUUCACUUUUGGCCAGAGGGAAUAAUAAUUGUCUGAGGCAACCCACCCUUCAAUCAAUAGAAAGUGAGACAUUUUAACAAAGCUUCAUCACUGAGGCCUCACAAAAGGCAACCACCCAGUGCCUACCCUUUGUCAAAGGUGUCUACCCUUGAGUGCUUGCAGCUACCUUUAUAUUAGCAUUGCUUUUGGCAAGCAUAAUAAUUAGUUUGCACCCUGAAAAGUCCAUAUUCUUGUGUAUGUACAUUCCUUGCUUUUCCUGGUCCUAGUUCUAGUGAGAAUUGUUCUCUGUGGUCACCCCAUA